AACGAACGCUGGCGGCAGGCCUAACACAUGCAAGUCGAGCGAGCAUUUCGGUGCUAGCGGCGGACGGGUGAGUAACGCGUGGGAACGUGCCCUUUUCUGCGGAAUAUUGCUGGGAAACUGGUGGUAAUACCGCAUACGCUCUUUUGGGGGAAGAUUUAUCGGAGAAGGAUCGGCCCGCGUUGGAUUAGGUAGUUGGUGGGGUAAUGGCCCACCAAGCCGUGGAUCCAUAGCUGGUUUGAGAGGAUGAUCAGCCACACUGGGACUGAGACACGGCCCAGACUCCUAGGGGAGGCAGCAGUGGGGAAUCUUAGACAAUGGGGGCAACCCUGAUCUAGCCCUGCCGCGUGAGUGAUGAAGGUCGUAGGGUUGUAAAGCUCUUUCAGAUGGGAAGAUAAUGACGGUACCAGCAGAAGAAGCCCCGGCUAACUCCGUG
rnacentral:rRNA from 1 species